rnacentral:snRNA from 1 species
CUAAGUGAGGGCCCGGUGACUGUGGCAUUUUACCGGACUCAUCUCCAGAGUUGAUGGGGUUGGUCUGGUCAGCUGGAUGGCCUUCCUCUUCGUCCCUCAUGGUUCCAUUUGCAAUCCUCCUUAAGCAGUGAGCUCAGCUCAAGAGGGGCCACCUUCCCUGAAUAGAAGAGGACUGUGUUCUGUCAAGGGUAUAAGAGCAGAUACACUCUCCAUCUAGAACCUCCAAACAAGCUCUCAUAUGUAUGAUCUGAAUUUUGAAAACGUAGGCAAUUUAUAGAUAAUAAUUGUGCGUAUAUAUGGGUCAUGGGGAUAGUUCAAUCUGUGU